ACACAUUCCUAUUUGAAUAAAAAACCAUGAAAGUUGAUAUAAACUUUACAUUAUAAAUACUUUUUUUAAUAACAUGAUAAAAUAGAGUUUUUUGGUUUUAGUGUUAUUAUAAACGUAAUCACAACAGACAGGAAAAAGAGUGACCUAGUAGACUUUAAGAAGUUUUUUCUUUGUUAUGAUUUUAUUGCAUGAAAAUAAUUUGUCAUCGAAAAUAUCAAGGAGGGGAAUCAUAAACAUCCUUUUCUUUUUUCCCCACAGAUUUCUGUUUCAUGCAUUCUCCUCAGGGCUGUGAUUUUAACAGACCAGUGAAAGAAAAAAUUUCAAAAGAAAAGGAAACUGAAGAAGUUAAUUGUACCAGAGCAGAAUCCAGAGAAGGUGGGUUAGUUCUGAUGCAUUUUUCUCUGUUUCCUGUGUCUAAAGCAAGAUGCUGCAGGACCUUGUUGAUACAUCAGACUUCACUGAGACAAAGGCUUCAUACAGAUCAGGCAUCCAAACUAUUUGUUCAUUUCAGAAGUGGUAUUUUGGCUGCAGUGGUUUUUUUCCACUUGUGUGGGAGGAAUUGUGUUUUAUUGUAA
rnacentral:lncRNA from 1 species